ACGAACGCUGGCGGCGUGCCUAAUACAUGCAAGUAGAACGCACAGUUUAUACCGUAGCUUGCUACACCAUAGACUGUGAGUUGCGAACGGGUGAGUAACGCGUAGGUAACCUGCCUGGUAGCGGGGGAUAACUAUUGGAAACGAUAGCUAAUACCGCAUAAUAUUAAUUAUUGCAUGAUAAUUAAUUGAAAGGUGCAAUUGCACCACUACCAGAUGGACCUGCGUUGUAUUAGCUAGUAGGUGAGGUAACGGCUCACCUAGGCGACGAUACAUAGCCGACCUGAGAGGGCGAUCGGCCACACUGGGACUGAGACACGGCCCAGACUCCUACGGGAGGCAGCAGUAGGGAAUCUUCGGCAAUGGACGAAAGUCUGACCGAGAAACGCCGCGUGAGUGAAGAAGGUUUUCGGAUCGUAAAGCUCUGUUGUAAGAGAAGAACGGGUGUGAGAGUGGAAAGUUCACACUGUGACGGUAUCUUACCAGAAAGGGACGGCUAACUACGUG
rnacentral:rRNA from 1 species